rnacentral:misc_RNA from 1 species
UGAUGGUGACAAAGCUCGCAUGGGAAGCCGCACCUAAUCAUGUCAUCGCGGGCAAUGCAGCCCCCUUGCCGCCGUGCAUGCCACCUCUGAAUUUCAUAUUGCGGAAUGUUGCUAGCGAUCCUGACGGCAGCGCCACUCACGCCGGCCUUUCUUUUUGAUGCGCUCGUCUGGCCGGCAGGUUUCGGAGAGAUCAAUAUCGUGAAACGUCCGGGUCUUUACGUCGAGGUUGAUCGUUGCGUUGAGAUUGACGUGAG